rnacentral:rRNA from 1 species
GAUGAACGCUGGCGGCGUGCCUAAUACAUGCAAGUCGAGCGAACGGACGAGAAGCUUGCUUCUCUGAUGUUAGCGGCGGACGGGUGAGUAACACGUGGAUAACCUACCUAUAAGACUGGGAUAACUUCGGGAAACCGUAGCUAAUACCGGAUAAUAUUUUGAACCGCAUGGUUCAAAAGUGAAAGACGGUCUUGCUGUCACUUAUAGAUGGAUCCGCGCUGCAUUAGCUAGUUGGUAAGGUAACGGCUUACCAAGGCAACGAUGCAUAGCCGACCUGAGAGGGUGAUCGGCCACACUGGAACUGAGACACGGUCCAGACUCCUACGGGAGGCAGCAGUAGGGAAUCUUCCGCAAUGGGCGAAAGCCUGACGGAGCAACGCCGCGUGAGUGAUGAAGGUCUUCGGAUCGUAAAACUCUGUUAUUAGGGAAGAACAUAUGUGUAAGUAACUGUGCACAUCUUGACGGUACCUAAUCAGAAAGCCACGGCUAACUACGUGCCAGCAGCCGCGGUAAUACGUAGGUGGCAAGCGUUAUCCGGAAUUAUUGGGCGUAAAGCGCGCGUAGGCGGUUUUUUAAGUCUGAUGUGAAAGCCCACGGCUCAACCGUGGAGGGUCAUUGGAAACUGGAAAACUUGAGUGCAGAAGAGGAAAGUGGAAUUCCAUGUGUAGCGGUGAAAUGCGCAGAGAUAUGGAGGAACACCAGUGGCGAAGGCGACUCUCUGGUCUGUAACUGACGCUGAUGUGCGAAAGCGUGGGGAUCAAACAGGAUUAGAUACCCUGGUAGUCCACGCCGUAAACGAUGAGUGCUAAGUGUUAGGGGGUUUCCGCCCCUUAGUGCUGCAGCUAACGCAUUAAGCACUCCGCCUGGGGAGUACGACCGCAAGGUUGAAACUCAAAGGAAUUGACGGGGACCCGCACAAGCGGUGGAGCAUGUGGUUUAAUUCGAAGCAACGCGAAGAACCUUACCAAAUCUUGACAUCCUUUGACAACUCUAGAGAUAGAGCCUUCCCCUUCGGGGGACAAAGUGACAGGUGGUGCAUGGUUGUCGUCAGCUCGUGUCGUGAGAUGUUGGGUUAAGUCCCGCAACGAGCGCAACCCUUAAGCUUAGUUGCCAUCAUUAAGUUGGGCACUCUAAGUUGACUGCCGGUGACAAACCGGAGGAAGGUGGGGAUGACGUCAAAUCAUCAUGCCCCUUAUGAUUUGGGCUACACACGUGCUACAAUGGACAAUACAAAGGGCAGCGAAACCGCGAGGUCAAGCAAAUCCCAUAAAGUUGUUCUCAGUUCGGAUUGUAGUCUGCAACUCGACUACAUGAAGCUGGAAUCGCUAGUAAUCGUAGAUCAGCAUGCUACGGUGAAUACGUUCCCGGGUCU